GUGCUCAUUUCAGCAGCACAUACACUAAAAUUGAAAUAAUAUAGAGAUUAGCAUGACCCCUGUUCAAGGAUGGCAUGCACAUUUGUGAAGUGUUUCAUGUUUAU
ensembl:snRNA U6 U6 spliceosomal RNA